CGCGUAGGUGGUAGUGAAAGUCUGGGGUGGAAUCUUAGGGCUUAACCCUAAAACUGCCCUGGAAACUUCAUUACUUGAGUCAGUGAGGGGAGGGUAGAAUUCCUGGUGUAGCGGUGAAAUGCGUAGAUAUCAGGAGGAAGGCCGGUGGCGAAGGCGGCCCUCUGGCGCUGAACUGACGCUGAGGCGCGAAAGCGUGGGUAGCAAACAGGAUUAGAUACCCUGGUAGUCCACGCCCUAAACGGUGGGUACUAGGUGUAGGGCUCGUAAGGGUUCUGUGCCGAAGGGAAACCAUUAAGUACCCCGCCUGGGGAGUACGGCCGCAAGGUUGAA
rnacentral:rRNA from 1 species